rnacentral:rRNA from 1 species
ACGCACGCUGGCGGCGUGCUUAACACAUGCAAGUCGCACGGAAAGGCCCUGCUUUUGUGGGGUGCUCGAGUGGCGAACGGGUGAGUAACACGUGAGUAACCUGCCCUUGACUUUGGGAUAACUUCAGGAAACUGGGGCUAAUACCGGAUAGGAGCUCCUGCUGCAUGGUGGGGGUUGGAAAGUUUCGGCGGUUGGGGAUGGACUCGCGGCUUAUCAGCUUGUUGGUGGGGUAGUGGCUUACCAAGGCUUUGACGGGUAGCCGGCCUGAGAGGGUGACCGGCCACAUGGGGACUGAGAUACGGCCCAGACUCCUACGGGAGGCAGCAGUGGGGAAUAUUGCACAAUGGGCGGAAGCCUGAUGCAGCAACGCCGCGUGCGGGAUGACGGCCUUCGGGUUGUAAACCGCUUUCGCCUGUGACGAAGCGUGAGUGACGGUAAUGGGUAAAGAAGCACCGGCUAACUACGU